UACAGAGGUGGCAAGCGUUGUUCGGAAUUACUGGGCGUAAAGGGCGCGUAGGCGGCCCACUAAGUCAGAUGUGAAAUCCCCGGGCUCAACCUGGGAACUGCAUUUGUGACUGCAUCGCUGGAGUGCGGCAGAGGGGGAUGGAAUUCCGCGUGUAGCAGUGAAAUGCGUAGAUAUCGGGAGGAACAUCAGUGGCGAAGGCGGCCUUCUGGUCCAGUACUGACACUCAAGUGCGAAAGCGUGGGGAGCAAACAGG
rnacentral:rRNA from 1 species